CAGCCCCUCGAGUGGUGGGGAUGAUUAUUUGGCCUAAAGCGUCCGUAGCCUGCCGUAUAAGUCUCCCGUUAAAUCCAGCGUCUCAAGCGUUGGACUGCGGGAGAUACUGUACGGCUAGAGAGUGGGAGAGGUCAGCGGUAUUCUGGGGGUAGGGGCGAAAUCCUUUGAUCCCCGGAGGACCACCAGUGGCGAAGGCUGCUGACUAGAACACGUCUGACGGUCAGGGACGAAAGCUGGGGUAGCGAACCGGAUUAGAUACCCGAGUAGUCC
rnacentral:rRNA from 1 species